CAGCAGCCACAGCCCUGGUUAGACCCAGGAUCGCAGCCAAGUCAAUGCACUCAGACUGGCAAGAUUCUCAGGGAAACCUGGAAGACUGGAGCUUGAAAGGAUAUACAGAGCAAGAGCCCAAGUCACCAUUGCCCAAAUGGAGGAGUUGUUCCUGGAGAGGGUGCAAGAUUUGGGCCAUGAGGUGGCUGAGCAAGAACUGCAGCCCUGGCCCUGCUCGCAGCCUACCUGGGGGUGGGGUACAAAUGCCUGGAGCUUUCCUUGUUAUCUAUAAAAUACUAGCAAUGAAAGAAAGUCAGAGUAAGGAUACUCACCCUCUCAUUAACUUUCCUUCCUGGCAGCACACACCAUCUUUCCAAAUCUUGCUCCUGGGCCUGGAAACAGAAUUCCUCCUUAGAGGUUUCACACAAAGGAGCCAGAGGGCGGUGGUAGAGAAGGUUUAAAUGAGUUCAAGGUAUGAACAGGUGGGGAAAAGGGUUACACAGGAGGAGAGGGACAUAUGAGGUAAGUCAAAGAGAAGCCAAGGUCAGCCAUGGUCCUAUGACUACAAAGGCCCCUGGCCAAAUUGAGCAAUGCAUUUUCUUCUCUCUGCAGGGGAGAAAAGCCAGAAGAGACAGGUUCUGGGAGCUGCCUCUGAAAAUCCCAGCCUGCUUGGGGUAACAUUGCUGAGUAGAGCUAGUGGAGGGAUGAGACCCAGAGACACCGUGGGGUCCCCUAUUUGAAAACUACCUUUCCCAAGGAGGGUCAAAACUGCAGCUGGGAGCCCAAAGCUGGGCCAAACCUCAGAAAACCACAGUCCCUUUGGGACUUCGUGUCAACCUUUGGUCUGAACCUGCCCAAGACCAAGAUAUCUUAUGCUUCCUGCCAGCCUAAUCCUCCUGAAUAUGCUUUCAUCUCACCCCUCCCUGGACCAGAUCACUCCCCUGGCUCCACAUUGCCUCCUUCUUCAAGUCUAAACUUCGCUUCCCUGUUCUUUACAUGCACAUUCCACCCCCACCCCGCCUCACUCCCCAUCCUCCAUCCCACACGUCCUGCUUUAGACACUACUAUCACCUCACUCUCCCCUGCAAUGUCCAUGAUCAUUCCUAACUCUGUUGUCUUUUCUCCUCUUCUUCUAUUCAGAAAACCAUGCUUCUUCCUCUGUCAAAAAACUAAUCUGCCUCUCCAUCAAGGUGUGGCUCACUUCUUCCAGGAAUCCUUCUUCUUUAUCAGUCCAUCUGGAUCGCUUCCAUCUAGAAAUGUCAUUCUAACAAUCCAAGAGCUGUACCAACACCAAUACUAACACUACUGCUAAGGCUAGUGCUAACACAGAUGGUAAAGCUUACUGGGUGCUCACCACAUGCUGGACUAAAUUCUUGGUCAUUUUGUGUGCUGACUCAUUUACUCCUCCCCAGAUCCUACAAGGUAGGUACUCUGAUUCAUUUUACAUAUUGGAAAAUAAUAAAGGGUAUAUAACAUGGCCUUAGUAAGUGCUCUCACAUUUGGUGGGUAUUUAAUAUACAAGUGGCCCUGGGUGUUAUCCAAUGAGAGGAGAAAGCUUCUCCCUUUUUCAGUGGUAGAGCCAUUGGUAACCCUUGGCAGCUUUAUUUAUGAAAAUAAAUCAUUCCUAAACUGAUUCAGGGUUUAGGACAAGCAGUAUUCAGGCUGAAUGGGAAGCAGGGAGCACAGGGAGAGUUGCAUUUAUCACAAUUAAUAUCUUGUGCCUUGUCAAAUAUCUGACAUACUGUGCCUGUGUAUUACCUCUUGUCUAAGGCAUGUGUAAACGUUCAGUUAAUAUUUAAUGGCCUCCACUGGAGAAGAACUCAUGGCUCAUGAUGAAGAUUGAUGUUGGACUUUUUAUUAUGAACAAUUUCAGACACACACACAAAAGUAGAAGAAUUUAAUAAGCUCCGUUGUACCUGUCACCCAGAUCCAACAAUAAUUAACUCUCAGGCUUGUUUCAUCUAUAUCCCACUUACCAGCCCCCAACCCCAAAUUAUUCUGAAGCAAAUCCAAGACACUGUGUCAUUUCAUGUUGAGAAUAUUUCAAAGAAAAAGGAAACGGAGAGGGAAAUAUACAUUGUACAUAAAUUUUACUUUUCCUUAAACAACAGAUGGAGCCUAGGAAAGAACAAGACACCCAGUCCCCAGGAAGGAGAGAAAAUAACACUCUCCCAUUUUAAUUGCUUUGCUACUGUAUAUUUACUCCAUAGAUUCUUGAUCAUAGUUCUGUAAAUUUAUAGCUUUAAUGUUCUCACUGGGGGUUGUCUCACCAGCUCCAAUUACAUUGGAAACACCUGGCAAGCAAGAUCCACAUUUUCCUCUUACUGAAUUUAACAUCAUGUGUUCUGCUGUUCCAUAGGACAUCUGGCUUGCCCUCCUCCCUCCCUUCCUUCUUAAUGUCUGCCUUCCUUUCUAACCAGUCUCCAGGCUUCAUAAUAAUGUCCUAACUUCCUUUUGUUACUCCCAUAAACAUUCACUAGAUACAGCUCCUGGUAUACAGUAGACAAAAUUGGAACGUGUAGCACACGUGGCAGGAAGGCAUCUCCCACAAGGUGAUGGUGCAGCUGAGUCUUACAGCGUAAGCAUGAAUUAGCUGAUUGCAGCGGGUGGGGGAGUGGUUGUUGGAGGAAGGGAAUUUGAGGCAGAGGAAAUAGCCCCAGCAAAGAUCUGUGGAAGAAAUUUGGGCCUAUGUGAGAAACUGCAAAAUGUACCACAUGGUUGGAUCAAUAUAUUUAAAUAGGUCAUUGAGGUCAAGAAUGAGAUUUGAAAAUACACUGCAUCCAGACCUUGUAGGACAAUACCAAUCAGAGCAAGGGAGCAGAUAGAGAAAGACAGGUGGGAGAGAAAGGGAGUCCUGAUGCAUAAAAGAAAAGCUAUGAUGAACUCCCCAAAGGCCUGGAUUCACCAAAGCUCUUUUCAACUUUGACAUCAUCUCCUAUGGAAAUAUGUUCUCCCAAUAUCAUCAUAUCUCUUUGAAAAUUAACUAAAGACUGAUGCCCCUCCCCUGAAAGAUUUUUUCCUGAUCUAGAACCUAUAUUACUGCUAGAAAUAUUAUCUAUGGCAUACAUAUUUCUUUAGUUUGCAAACAUUUGUUUUCCCAGGAAAAAAAAUGUUUUCAAAACAGAAACUAGACCAGACUUUACGAUUUUUACAUAUUUGCUUCACUUGGUAUGACAAAGAAAUGCAAAACAAUUAUGAGAUGGGGAGUGGUGAUGCAAAUAAUAAUUCUUUGUUAUGGUGGUUGUUUUUAUUAGGUUACCUGUACCUGCAGUGCACCUGUGGAAAUAUAUCUGAAAAUGUUCAUUUUUUAGCACCAGGGCUGUUUGAUCAUAUAGCCGAUUUAUGAACAAAAUCUGUAGAACUCAAAAGGAAAUGCAGAUCUGCCGAUUGGCUGCGGAAUUGGGGUUGUGCAGGUAACUGUUGCCACUGAUCUAACCUGGCUAUGAUCACUGCCUCCACUUAGUUUGCAGUUGAAAAUUCUACACUUCGCUCUUGAAAUGUUGUGCUCCACUGCUUUCAGAGCUUGAGGGCUGGAGGGGUCAUGUUUUUAGUUCCAGAGGUCAUGAAUUUGAUUUGCAGUAAAGAAUGUACUAGAGAGCUCAGGAGUGAGAAGUGUGAUUAAAUGACCUCUAAUGGACCUUCCAUUACAUAAUAAUCUCCGUCCUUGGGUCGCCGACAUCUGGAGCACUAAAUGUAUAAAAAUAUUUUUUUCUAAACUAAAAACUAAUCAAACUUUAAUUGAUGACUUAAUGGAUGGUAGUGGAAGGCAUUUGACCAUGUUGGAUCUAGUUUCACACUUUACAAGAUUUAGAUUUUCAUUCUUAUUUAGAUUGACAUGAUUCAGAUUCAGGGUCCAUCAAGAACAUUGUCCCAGGACAGGAUAAUGCUGAUUCUCUGGAGACCAGAUGUGACUUCAUUUCCACCCAUCUGUUCUCCCAUUUGAGUCAAGGGUUCACUCACUUGUUUUCUUUAUUUGUGGUCCAUGGGUGGCUGGAUUCUGAUAGUAUUGUGUUUGACUGCUGUUGGACAGACUUUCGCCCUCACCUUUGAAGCUCAACUCUGGGGAAAGAUCUAGUCUUAAAGAGGAAGAGCUCUUUAGAGGGGUAGUUAGAGCCUAGAGUGAAUCCCUGUCUCAAUUUCCUCCAGAUUGUUUUUAGUGGGCUUAUUAUUCCAUCCCCAGUGUGUCAGGAAACAGCUCUCCAAUACAUACUACUAGCAUUCUCUAUGC
rnacentral:lncRNA from 1 species